rnacentral:tRNA from 1 species
CAGACUCAUGGCGUGGGGCGCUACCUGGGGCUCGAGACCCUGGAGGCCGGCGGCCAGGCCGCGGAGUUCCUGGCCCUGGAGUAUGCC